ACCCGGGACGCUGGAUGCUGCCGAUUGCGGAGCCUGGUUCUCUGCUAUAAGCAAUAAGCUCGAAAAUUUUCGCUUUUUAGAUUAGAAAGGAAGAGGGAAAUACUAUCUUUGAUACUCAAAAAAAUCAUACAGUAGAUCCUUGCUCCUUCCCAGAAACCAAAACACUACUUGUUCACUCAUUGUUAUCAUCUCUGUGGGGACUCCAACUUAAAUCUCUAUGCUCGUCAGGGAUUCACAAGUCUCCAUCUUCUACAAGUUUCUGCUUUCCGGGUUAUUUUUUUUUUCCUUCUUAAAACUAUGGAAAGGCCGUCUUGGUCUCAUCUUAUUGGGUCAAAGCGUUACCUUUCUUCCUGGGUUUUUGCUUCUGGAAUCAGUGUCUGCAGAGAAAUAUUUCUGGGUUUGGUUCUUUUCCAUUCAAUGCGCUUUUGCUUGUUUAGUACAUAGGCAGCAGUCAAAUCAUCAACCUCUGAUGGGAUAGCCGUUGAUCGAAUCGUUGCCAGUAAUUGGGCGAUUCUUGAUGAGAAUGAGAGCGGUUGGAUGAGUCAUGCUUCUGCUAAUACUCGGUGCCCCAAUCCAUUCAAGUUAUCAACAAACCUUUGCAGGUCUAGCGAAUGAGUCCCGUGUUACUUCUCUUUAGUAACUGAAGUUAAAAUGAUAACUAACCUUGUGUAUUUGAGCAUCAUUGGAAGAAAUUAAUGGCUAGGUUGAAUCUCAUAUCCAGACCUUUAGGGAGAUCCUGUACAUGCUGAGAAGAUAAGCCGCCCUUGGUUCACUGGGCUAAUAUUCGAGCAGGGAUUGCUAGAGGAACUCAAAUUCAAAGAAAAUGAGUUGCAAGCCAGAUGGCAAAUGCAGUUGCAGGAAAUGGAGAAAACCAGCGAACCUCCUUCUCAACAAGAAAGCACUAGGAAAUCCACUCCCUAAAACUUCAUAGACUUGAGCCCUUGUCUGAAACCAGCAAUGUGUUGCGGAAGCAACCUUGAAUCCGGUGAUGCUCCAACAUUUCAUUUGUCAUCAGAAAAUACUCUUUUCCUUGUGGAACUUAACCUGACAUUGCUAGUGCUGUUGAUGUAGUGACUAACGUUUGAAGUUAUUUAGUUGCAUGACCUUGAUGCCAGCGGUGAUUUGAAAGACUUUGAUCUAAUCACUGCUGCCUCUGUUCCUGCCUCCUGCGCGACCCUUGUUAUUUUCAAGCUUUAUACCUUAUUCAGGUUGCCUUAUAUUCUGCUUAUUUAGAUCUGGCUUUAGCAGAAUCUGUAUAUAGUAAGAACUUCCCUCAUUCUAUUUCUUCCUUUAGAUUUCUCAAACCCUUUCUUAUUGCUGAAAGUCUGCCUCCUCUGCCCCUUCAAGUAUUGAAGGGUGGAUGCACAGAUUGAUUUUGAGAAGGGAAAGAAAACACUUUCAGGAGUUAAUUGUUGCACUAUGAUUGUUGUAGAAGAGUUAAUUGUUGCACUAUGAUUGUUGUAGAGUUGUGGCAACAAUAGACAGUAAUUCUAUGAUUUUCCAGAAGAAUUUGAAUUGGAAAAGUAAGAAAGAAAAAACAUAUAGAAUUUAGAGAUAAUAGUUUGUGAUUAUUGGUGGAUGGCACCUAUUCAAAUAAAUAUGUCUGAAUAAUUCUCAUAAAAUUUGAAGUAUUUUAAAAAAUAAAUUUGUCAGAGGAUCUGUUGAAUCCAUCUAAUUGUAUUGUGCCUUAGGCUUCUUAUUCAAUUAAGAAAUAUUACCCUUGAAAGAGAGAGAAGAAUUCUAUAAUGUUAUGGAGUUUUAUUUACCUCUUGGAAUGGAGGCCUAGCACGAUAUGAACUCUCCUACAAGUUGGAAAGUAAGCAAACCUCAAUCCCCAAUGAUGGCUUCUAGAAUUUUGGUUGAGUGAAAUCUGAUUUCAUUGAAGAUUCUUCGUACUUCAUAUUUAAGUUGGCUGUUUUUGCUUGGACACGUUUAGUGAUGAUCAAGCAAUAAGGUUCAGUAAGAUCAAACUUCAUAAAUUAGAAAUAAGAACAAAAUUAAUUAAAUUACUUUAAAUACACAACUUCUGACAAAAAAAUUAUAUUGGGAUAAUAAGGGUACUAAUUAUACUUGACAACAUAUAUAUCAAAAUAUUAAAGAAUUCAAAAAAUUGGAAUCCCAGCCUUUUCAAUGGCAUUAAAAAUUUUCAAUUGAUGAACUUUUGAGAGUGCAUCAUCUCAUGAACUAAUGAGGCAAAAAAAAAAGGCAAAUUUUAAAUAGGGGAUGAU